UAGGGAAUCUUCGGCAAUGGGGGCAACCCUGACCGAGCAACGCCGCGUGAGUGAAGAAGGUUUUCGGAUCGUAAAGCUCUGUUGUAAGAGAAGAACGUGUGUGAGAGUGGAAAGUUCACACAGUGACGGUAACUUACCAGAAAGGGACGGCUAACUACGUGCCAGCAGCCGCGGUAAUACGUAGGUCCCGAGCGUUGUCCGGAUUUAUUGGGCGUAAAGCGAGCGCAGGCGGUUUAAUUAGUCUGAAGUUAAAGGCAGUGGCUUAACCAUUGUUCGCUUUGGAAACUGUUAAACUUGAGUGCAGAAGGGGAGAGUGGAAUUCCAUGUGUAGCGGUGAAAUGCGUAGAUAUAUGGAGGAACACCGGUGGCGAAAGCGGCUCUCUGGUCUGUAACUGACGCUGUGGCUCGAAAGCGUGGGGAGCAAACAGG
rnacentral:rRNA from 1 species